AUGAAUCCCCAGCGGAAGCGCAUCCCCAAGAUCGAGCCCUUCAAGCACCGGGUCGAGGUCGACCCCAAGUUCUUCGACAAGUCGUGGAAGAAGCUCGAUGACGCCAUCCGCGAGAUUUACAACCACAACGCCAGCGGCCUCUCCUUCGAGGAGCUCUACAGGACCGCAUAUAACAUGGUUCUUCACAAGCAUGGUGGGAGGCUAUACGAUAAAUUGGCAGAGAACUUGAAAGGACACCUUAGAGAAAUGGGCAAAUUAGUAGAGGCUGCCCAAGGUGGUUUGUUCUUGGAGGAGCUACAGAGAAGGUGGGCUGAUCAUAUCAAGGCUUUACAGAUGAUCAGAGAUAUACUGAUGUAUAUGGAUAGAACAUUUAUUCCAUCUAGCAAAAAGACACCUGUCUUUGAGCAUGGUCUAGAACUGUGGAGAGAUAUUGUUGUCCGCUCCCCCAAAAUUCAUGGGAGAUUGGUCGACACACUUCUGGAACUCAUUCAUAGAGAGAGGAUGGGUGAGAUGAUAAACAGAGGUUUGAUGAGGAACACGACCAAGAUGCUGAUGGAACUGGGGUCGUCUGUCUACCAGGAUGACUUUGAGAGGCCAUUCCUUGAGGUGUCUGCAAGUUUCUAUAGUGGUGAGUCGCAGCAGUGCAUCGAGCGUUGCGACUGUGGUGAGUACCUGAAGAAUGCUGAGAAGCGGCUUGCUGAGGAAUCGGAACGUGUUUCGCUGUAUAUGGACGCCAAAACUGCAGACAAAAUAGCUAAUGUUGUGGACAAAGAGAUGCUCUCGAAUCACAUGCAGAGGUUGUUUCUUAUGGAGAAUUCUGGUCUUGUGAAUAUGCUCAUUAAUGACAAGCAUGAAGACCUGACCAGGAUGUAUGACUUGUUUAAACGUGUCCCUGAUGGGCAUUCAACCAUUAGAUCUCUCAUGGCUUCUCAUGUUAAGGAGACUGGAAAGAUUUUAGUGACUGACCCAGAGAGAUUAAGGGAUCCUGUUGAUUUCGUCCAGCGUCUUCUAAAUGAGAAGGACAAGUAUGAUGAGAUUGUCAGUGUUUCAUUCAGCAAUGACAAGACUUUCCAGAAUGCUUUAAAUGCCUCAUUUGAGCAUUUCAUCAACUUAAACAAUCGCUCCCCUGAGUUCAUAUCAUUGUAUGUUGAUGACAAGCUUCGGAAAGGUGUGAAAGGUGCUGCCAAUGAAGAGGAUAUUGAGACAGUUCUGGACAAGGUUAUGAUGCUGUUCAGGUACUUGCAGGAGAAAGAUGUUUUUGAGAAGUAUUACAAGCAGCACUUGGCAAAACGCCUUCUAUCUGGGAAAACUAGUUCUGAUGAAGCUGAGAGGAACAUGCUUGUGAAGCUGAAGACAGAAUGUGGCUACCAGUUUACGUCAAAGCUGGAGAGCAUGUUCACUGAUUUGAAGACGUCUCAGGAUACAAUGCAAAGUUUCUAUGCCAAUCUCGCUGGUGACAGUGACGGCCCAACAAUAUCUGUCCAGAUACUCACCACUGGAUCUUGGCCAACACAGCCAUGCGCUACCUGCAAUCUUCCACCUGAGAUCCUUGGUGUUUCUGAGCAGUUCCGGGCACACUACCUGGGCACGCACAAUGGCAGGAGACUGACAUGGCAGACAAAUAUGGGGAAUGCAGACAUCAAGGCAACAUUUGGAGACCGCAAGCAUGAGCUGAAUGUCUCGACUUACCAGAUGUGUGUCCUGAUGCUAUUCAACUCAACAGAUACUUUGACCUACAAGGAAAUUGAGCAGAACACAGCCAUACCACCUGUUGAUCUGAAGCGCUGCCUCCAGUCUCUUGCCUGUGUGAAGGGCAAGAACGUGCUGCGGAAGGAGCCCAUGAGCAAGGACAUAUCCGACAGCGACGCUUUCCACUUCAACGACAAGUUCAGCAGCAAGUUGGUGAAGGUGAAGAUUGGCACGGUCGUUGCGCAGAAGGAGUCAGAGCCAGAGAAGCAGGAGACCCGCCACAGGGUCGAGGAGGACCGGAAGCCCCAGAUCGAGGCGGCCAUCGUGAGGAUCAUGAAGUCCAGGAGGGUCCUGGACCACAACAGUAUAGUGACGGAGGUGACGAAGCAGCUCCAGGCGCGCUUCCUGCCGAACCCGGUGGUGAUCAAGAAGAGGAUCGAGUCCCUGAUCGAGCGCGAGUUCCUGGAGAGGGACAAGGUAGAUAGGAAGCUCUACCGCUAUCUUGCGUAA
rnacentral:rRNA from 1 species